UACGUAGGUGGCAAGCGUUGUCCGGAUUUACUGGGCGUAAAGGGAGCGUAGGCGGAUACUUAAGUGGGAUGUGAAAUACCUGGGCUUAACUUGGGUGCUGCAUUCCAAACUGGGUGUCUAGAGUGUUGGAGAGGAAAGUGGAAUUCCUAGUGUAGCGGUGAAAUGCGUAGAGAUUAGGAAGAACACCAGUGGCGAAGGAGAAUUUCUGGACAAUAACGGACGCUGAGGCUCGAAAGCGUGGGGAGCAAACAGGAUUAGAUACCCUGGUAGUCCACGCCGUAAACGAUGGGUACUAGGUGUAGGAGGUAUCGACUCCUCCUGUGCCGCCGUUAACACAAUAAGUACCCCGCCUGGGGAGUACGGUCGCAAGAUUAAA
rnacentral:rRNA from 1 species